rnacentral:rRNA from 1 species
GACGGGGGAUGCAAGCGUUAUCCGGAAUCACUGGGCGUAAAGCGUCUGUAGGUGGUGAAGCAAGUCACUGGUGCAAAACUCUGGCUCAACCGGAGGAAAGCCAGUGAAACUGCAUGACUAGAGUGCGGGAGAGGUAGAGGGAAUUCCCUGAGUAGCGGUGAAAUGCGGAGAUACAGGGAAGAACACCGGAGGCGAAAGCGUUCUACUGGAACACAACUGACACUGAGAGACCGAAGCCAGGGGAGGGAAUGGG